rnacentral:rRNA from 1 species
GCUCCAGACUCCUACGGGAGGCAGCAGUGGGGGAUAUUGCACAAUGGGGGGAACCCUGAUGCAGCGACGCCGCGUGGGUGAAGAAGCGCCUCGGCGCGUAAAGCCCUGUCAGCAGGGAAGAAAAUGACGGUACCUGAAGAAGAAGCCCCGGCUAACUACGUGCCAGCAGCCGCGGUAAUACGUAGGGGGCAAGCGUUAUCCGGAUUUACUGGGUGUAAAGGGGGCGCAGACGGCGAUGCAAGCCAGGAGUGAAAGCCCGGGGCCCAACCCCGGGACUGCUCUUGGAACUGCGUGGCUGGAGUGCAGGAGGGGCAGGCGGAAUUCCAGGUGUAGCGGUGGAAUGCGUAGAUAUCGGGAGGAACACCAGUGGCGAAGGCGGCCUACUGGGCACUAACUGACGCUGAGGCUCGAAAGCAUGGGUAGCAAACAGGAUUAGAUACCCCUGUA